rnacentral:rRNA from 1 species
UACGGGGGAAGCAAGCGUUGUUCGGAUUUACUGGGCGUAAAGGGCGCGUAGGCGGUCGUGACAAGUCACUUGUGAAAUCUCCGGGCUUAACUCGGAACGGUCAAGUGAUACUGUCGGACUAGAGUACAGAAGGGGCAACUGGAAUUCUCGGUGUAGCGGUGAAAUGCGUAGAUAUCGAGAGGAACACCUGCGGCGAAGGCGGGUAGCUGGGCCGACACUGACGCUGAUGCGCGAAAGCCAGGGGAGCGAACAGG